CGUACCAUUGAUAAAAUCGCGCUUCAUUGCAAACAAGUUCCACGAAAAGGAUCAGCAUGUGAAUAAUGAAAAGUGACAGCUGUCAUUGUUUCGAAGAAACCUCGUUUGGCUUGGGGGUUUAACACCCACAAUUCUGCAAAUGCGUGGUGAGAAGCCAUCUGGUGAAGUAAUUUAGCCCCGCCCCUUCCACUCCUGUCACUAUAAAGUCCCGGGUGUCCCAGAAGAAGGGGUCACUUUUGGCGCCUGAGCAACCCGCGAGCUCCUCUGAAACUCCACGGAACCUUUCCCUCAAUCCUCUUUUUGAAUUCCUGUAAGAUGGAUGUGAGCCAACAAGUGCUAUUUUCAGUUCUGUUUUCAUGUAUUUUGUGUCCAAAUGAAAGGGAUGACCCCAAAAUCUCUCGCUAAAGUCCCGAGCUGUCAUUGCAGUACCCGGCCACAGAGUGUAUGAUUUAUUUACGCUGGUGGCGGACAUUGUUGCCUUAGGGUCUAUGUUCAGAUGUAACACUGUCAUCUUCUUCUUUUCCCACAUUGGUGAGAAGCCGCCCGGUAAAAGUCUUUUAGCCCUGCCCCAUCCACUCCUGCUGCCAUAAAGUCCCAGGUGUCCAAGAAGGAGGCGUCACUUUUGGCCUGAGCAACUUGCAAGAUGGAGCUCCGCUGAAACUACACGGAACCUUUCCCUCAAUCCUCUUUUUGAAUUCCCGCAAGAUGGAUUGGUGAGAAGCCAUCUGGUGAAGUAAUUUAGCCCCGCCCCUUCCACUUCUGUCACCAUAAAGUCCCGGGUGUCCCAGAAGAAGGGGUCACUUUUGGCGCCUGAGCAACCCAUGAGACAGAGCUCCUCUGAAACUACACAGAACCUUUCCCUCAGUCCUCUUUUUGAAUUUCUUCAAGUGGUGAGAAGCCGCCCGGUAAAAGUCAUUUAGCCCCGCUCCUUCCACUCCUGCUGCCAUAAAGUCCCAGGUGUCACAGAAGGAGGCGUCACUUUUGGCCUGAGCAACUUGCGAGAUGGAGCUCUGCUGAAACUACACGGAACCUUUCCCUCAGUCCUCUUUUUGAAUUCCUGCAUGAUGGAUGCGCACUAACGAGUGCUAUUUUCAGUUCUGUUUUCAUUUUGUGUCCUCGGACAAAUGAGAGGGACGACCCCAAAAUUUCUUGCUACAGUCCCGAGCUGUCAUUGCCGUACCCGGCCACAGAGUGUAUGAUUUAUUUACGCUGGUGGCGGACAUUGUUGCCUUAGGGUCUAUGUUCAGAUAUAACACUGUCAUCUUCUUCUUUUCCCACAGUGGUGAGAAGCCGCCCGGUAAAAGUCAUUUAGCCCCGCCCCUUCCACUCCUGCUGCCAUAAAGUCCCAGGUGUCACAGAAGGAGGCGUCACUUUUGGCCUGAGCAACUUACGAGAUGGAGCUCUACUGAAACUACACGGAACCUUUCCCUCAGUCCUCUUUUUGAAUUCCUGCAUGAUGGAUGCGCACUAACGAGUGCUAUUUUCAGUUCUGUUUUCAUUUUGUGUCUUCGGACAAAUGAGUGGGACGACCCCAAAAUUUCUUGCUACAGUCCUGAGCUGUCAUUACCGCACCCGGCCACAGCAUGUAUGAUUUAUUUAUGCAGCUGGCGGUCAUUGAUGCCUUAGGGUCUUUGCUUGACUCUUCCUUGGUCACUGUUUCUACAGAGUUUUCAUGUUCUCCAGAUGUCCCCUCCAUCCCUCAUGGAUAUUCCAUACGUUAAUCCCAGAUGUGACUUUAAACUGUGCCCUUAUAUAGAUUGUCAGCCCACCUAGGCUCGGUAACGAGCACAGACUUCAAAAACACUGGCGUGAAUUAUACAGGUUUCAAAAUGGAUGCAGCAUUUUGCGCAUUAGAGUUGCAACCUGCUGAUAUUUCUGGGUCAAUGUUGAUAACGAGAAAAAUAAAAAGGACGCGGCCAUUCCGAUACAAACGAACAUAGCCGCGAUACAAAAGAUUUGUAAUGCAGUGCCGGUCAUCCAUGCACAGACAGAAAAUAAUAUCGAUGUGAUUAUUGCAAGAUAAUUGCCAUGCAAAACAUGUAAUAGUUCACUUAGAGCCUAUUGACUUGUUUGGCUUGUUUUAAUAGAAAUUAUAUCAUUGACUUCCAAGCUGCAGCAGCCUGGAUUUAAAAUAUAAGCAAAAUAGAUACUAGUUUUGACAGGUUCGAUUGCAAACACAUUUCUCUUUUCCUAUGUCUAAACUUUAAUCAAGAUCCUUUGUUUUGCUAUGAAUGAUGGGUAAAGUCGGGGCUGUUUUGUAAGCAUGUGCACAUCCAGAUCCCUCAUAAUAUUAGUUAAAAUCAAUGUGCUGCUUUUUUAAUUAUUGCUCAUGGUACAAAGCAGGGAAGGCUCAUUUAAGAAUGGAUCAAUAUCACGAAGGGAUUGGUAGAUGGAGGAGCAGUACAUCAGACUGCUUGAUGUAAAAAUCAUUGGGCCCUGUGCUGUGGCUGUUUGGGGUUAUCAGCCUGGUUAGCCUCCAGCUGGCUGCAGGGCAGUGUAAUAGGUGAACCCUACGUGAACCAGCGUUCCUGGCAGCGAUAUCCUCAAGAAGUUGUUACUGAGCAAACACAUCAUACUCAUCUAUCAGAAAUAAAAUGUUAUAAAUCCUAUCUUCUUCAUAG